AGAGUUUGAUCAUGGCUCAGAUUGAACGCUGGCGGCAGGCCUAACACAUGCAAGUCGAGCGGUAACAGGGGUAGCUUGCUACCCGCUGACGAGCGGCGGACGGGUGAGUAAUGCAUAGGAAUCUGCCCGAUAGUGGGGGAUAACCUGGGGAAACCCAGGCUAAUACCGCAUACGUCCUACGGGAGAAAGGGGGCUCCGGCUCCCGCUAUUGGAUGAGCCUAUGUCGGAUUAGCUAGUUGGUAAGGUAAUGGCUUACCAAGGCAACGAUCCGUAGCUGGUCUGAGAGGAUGAUCAGCCACAUCGGGACUGAGACACGGCCCGAACUCCUACGGGAGGCAGCAGUGGGGAAUAUUGGACAUGGGGGCAACCCUGAUCCAGCCAUGCCGCGUGUGUGAAGAAGGCCCUCGGGUUGUAAAGCACUUUCAGCGAGGAAGAACGCCUAUCGGUUAAUACCCGGUAGGAAAGGCAUCACUCGCAGAAGAAGCACCGGCUAACUCCGUGCCAGCAGCCGCGGUAAUACGGAGGGUGCAAGCGUUAAUCGGAAUUACUGGGCGUAAAGCGCGCGUAGGUGGCUUGAUAAGCCGGUUGUGAAAGCCCCGGGCUCAACCUGGGAACGGCGUCCGGAACUGUCAGGCUAGAGUGCAGGAGAGGAAGGUAGAAUUCCCGGUGUAGCGGUGAAAUGCGUAGAGAUCGGGAGGAAUACC
rnacentral:rRNA from 1 species